GGCGAGUCUAGAGUCACCGUUGUGCCUAUUCCCGUGGCAUAUUGGUGCUAAAUGGCUCGGACAGCAACUCUGAACUUAUGCUCAGGCUAUCUAUUUACUGAUUGGGUAAUCUGACACCGAGUUUAGAGACAUUU